UUACUCAUUAUAAUGUUUUAAAAAAAUAAAAAAAUAAAGAAAUAUGGCAGCCCAAAUUCAGCCAAAUUCAGCCCCAUAUAGUUGGGUUUUGUGGGCUAGUUUCAAGGUGUAACCCCUUCUAAACACUUCCAAAGCCCAACCCAUUGAAACCCUAAUCCUUCCCCCUAUAAAUACCACUUAUAACCAGCCUCCCUACCACUUUUGCAACACUAAAAACUCUCAAAACAUCCUCCAAACCGUAGCUGAAAGCAAGGGUUCGAGUAGAUUGACACCCCUUCACGAAAAUGGGCAUAACUCACUCAAUUCUUAUCCGAUUCACUCGAUUCUUUUUCCUACUUGCUUGUAUAAUCAUGGGGUUCGAUUCCUAGACUUCUCCUUGGAGAAAUCAGACCUGGAAAUGCCCCGAAAUAGUCCAUAAACUUUCUGUUUGUUUUUAUGUUCAUCAAAAACUUGUUUAAACCUAUGCAACUUGUGUCCAACACAUCUCAUACCUAUGUCCUAAUGCUUACAACUUAUCCCAUGGUUGGUUAAGCUUAAAAACAAGGUUGAGACAUUUAAAAUCAGAGGAUUAAACCUCAUAAACUUGGUGUUUUGUUUAGGGUUUUUAACCCACAAGUCAUGUCAAACUUUGUCUUUGAUACAUGAGUGAUUAUGGAACAACUUGGGUUGUCCAAACAUACAAUCCUCACAUGAUUUGAUGAUUUCUCUUAGUUAGUGUGUAUAUUUCUUAUUCUUUAUUGUAUGUUCAUGACCCUCCUUGGUUGUUUUUUUUUACAUCAAGUGUAGUGGUGAACACAUAGAGGUGCCUAAAUGGAAGACUUGAUCUUCCUACCUCCUACAUGACUUCUAUGACAUUUAGAGGUUGAUGAUGAUGAAAUGAAAGAGGUAGCACGAUGCCUAGAUACACACUUUAGACGUUAGAUUUAAAUAUGUUGUAUCGAAUUUUGGUUAUGUUGGUUUGUUAUUUUGAUUAAACUUGUUAUUUGGGAUCUUGUAUUGAUGACUACUUGAAGUUUGGAAAUGAAAUUUGGAUUAUUAAAUUAUUGUCACAAAUAGCGUUAU
rnacentral:lncRNA from 1 species